rnacentral:rRNA from 1 species
GAUGAACGCUGGCGGCGUGCCUAAUACAUGCAAGUCGAGCGAACGGACGAGAAGCUUGCUUCUCUGAUGUUAGCGGCGGACGGGUGAGUAACACGUGGAUAACCUACCUAUAAGACUGGGAUAACUUCGGGAAACCGGAGCUAAUACCGGAUAAUAUUUUGAACCGCAUUGUUCAAGAGUGAAAGACGGUCUUGCUGUCACUUAUAGAUGGAUCCGCGCUGCAUUAGCUAGUUGGUAAGGUAACGGCUUACCAAGGCAACGAUGCAUAGCCGACCUGAGAGGGUGAUCGGCCACACUGGAAGUGAGACACGGUCCAGACUCCUACGGGGGGCCGCAGUAGGGAAUCAUCCGCAAUGGGCGAAGGCAUGACGGAGCAACGCCGCGUGAGUGAUGAAGGUCUUCGGAUCGUAAAACUCUGUGAUUAGGGAAGAACAUAUGUGUAAGUAACUGUGCACAUCUUGACGGUACCUAAUAAGAAAGCCACGGAUAACUGCG